ensembl:lncRNA
UGUGACCUUAUUUUCCCAUCAGGAUUGCUCUGAACUCACAUAGUUUCUGUAUGGAACACUCAAGUUUUCUAGUCUAGCUGCUGGAGACAGCAAUAUGUAGAUCUGAUGUUUGGAUACACCAAGCUCCAUAUGAGUCCAGCAGGGACAACUGGCCCCCAUGUGGAGGAGAUUUCUCCUUCUAUCAGUUCAGAAGACACCAUGGCGUUCAAUUCUUCUGGCACCUUGGUUGAGUGGCAGCCAAACUCAAAAACUGUGCAAAGAACUUAAAGACAUAGUAAUAAAG